AGAUGGCGACCGGCGCACGGGUGAGUAACACGUAUCCAACCUGCCGAUAACUCGGGGAUAGCCUUUCGAAAGAAAGAUUAAUACCCGAUGGUAUAAUCAGACCGCAUGGUUUGAUUAUUAAAGAAUUUCGGUUAUCGAUGGGGAUGCGUUCCAUUAGGCAGUUGGUGAGGUAACGGCUUACCAAACCUUCGAUGGAUAGGGGUUCUGAGAGGAAGGUCCCCCACAUUGGAACUGAGACACGGUCCAA
rnacentral:rRNA from 1 species